GACGAACGCUGGCGGCGUGCUUAACACAUGCAAGUCGAACGGAAAGGCCCUGCUUUUGUGGGGUGCUCGAUUGGCGAACGGGUGAGUAACACGUGAGUAACCUGCCCUUGUCUUUGGGAUAACUUCAGGAAACUGGGGCUAAUACCGGAUAGGAGCUCCUGCUGCAUGGUGGGGGUUGGAAAGUUUCGGCGGGUGGGGAUGGACUCGCGGCUUAUCAGCUUGUUGGUGGGGUAGUGGCUUACCAAGGCUUUGACGGGUAGCCGGCCUGAGAGGGUGACCGGCCACAUUGGGACUGAGAUACGGCCCAGACUCCUACGGGAGGCAGCAGUGGGGAAUAUUGCCCAAUGGGCGGAAGCCUGAUGCAGCAACGCCGCGUGCGGGAUGACGGCCUUCGGGUUGUAAACCGCUUUCGCCUGUGACGAAGCGUGAGUGACGGUAAUGGGUAAAGAAGCACCGGCUAACUACGUG
rnacentral:rRNA from 1 species